GAUAAAAAACCAAUGCCCUUCGGGGCUCCUUGGUGAUUCAUAAUAACUUCUCAGAUCGCAUGGCCUUGCGCCGGCGACGGUUCAUUCAAAUUUCUGCCCUAUCAACUUUCGAUGGUAAGGUAUUGGCUUACCAUGGUUUCAACGGGUAACGGGGAAUUAGGGUUCGAUUCCGGAGAGGGAGCCUGAGAAACGGCUACCACAUCCAAGGAAGGCAGCAGGCGCGCAAAUUACCCAAUCCCGACACGGGGAGGUAGUGACAAUAAAUACUGAUACAGGGCUCUUUUGGGUCUUGUAAUUGGAAUGAGUACAAUUUAAACCUCUUAACGAGGAACAAUUGGAGGGCAAGUCUGGUGCCAGCAGCCGCGGUAAUUCCAGCUCCAAUAGCGUAUAUUAAAGUUGUUGCAGUUAAAAAGCUCGUAGUUGAACCUUUGGCCUGGCUGGCAGGUCCGCCUCACCGCGUGCACUUGUCCGGCCGGGCCUUCUCUUCUGGAGAACCGCAUGCCCUUCACUGGGUGUGUUGGGGACCAGGACUUUUACUUUGAAAAAAUUAGAGUGUUCAAAGCAGGCCUUUGCUCGAAUACGUUAGCAUGGAAUAAUAGAAUAGGACGUGCGGUCCUAUUUUGUUGGUUUCUAGGACCGCCGUAAUGAUUAAUAGGGACAGUCGGGGGCAUCAGUAUUCAAUUGUCAGAGGUGAAAUUCUUGGAUUUAUUGAAGACUAACUACUGCGAAAGCAUUUGCCAAGGAUGUUUUCAUUAAUCAGUGAACGAAAGUUAGGGGAUCGAAGACGAUCAGAUACCGUCGUAGUCUUAACCAUAAACUAUGCCGACUAGGGAUCGGGCGGUGUUAUUAUUUUGACUCGCUCGGCACCUUACGAGAAAU
rnacentral:rRNA from 1 species